UUGAAAUGUAUAUAAUCGAAUAAAAGUUAUUUCGAAUGAUGUCCAUGAAACGAUGAAACGAGAGAAUACUAUUUUUAAGUUUUUAUUUAGCAUAAAUUAUAGUCGAAUUAUUAUUAAAUUAUUGACUUCGAGUCUUCUUAUUUUCAACUCGUUCAAUCGCUACUCAUGACAACACCUUAUCUGUCACAUUUUUGGGAAGUAUGUGACGAUUAGAACAAAGUUUUGUCCUGAACUGGCUAAACUACUGAGUUCUGAUUCUCUCACUAGUUGUGAAUUUAUGAAAAAUCAAUUAGGUGUGGAAUUAGUAUUUUGUCAUUUUUUAAUUAUAUUGAAAUCGAUUGACGAGGUAAAAUUAUUUAUAACGAUAAUAUAAAAUUAUAUGUAUAAUGAAUUAUCAGCUACAAAUCCCUGAAUCAUACAAACAGUCAGUUACUGUUGCAGUGAGAGGAUUAGGAACUCAGAGUGAUAUAGUUAUUUGUACAAAUGAUAAAAAAAUAUUGACAUUCUUUAAGAGCUGUUUGAUUAAAAACUGUAUUGUAAAUAUAAUUGUUAAUAUCAUUGAACCAUUUAUUGUUUAUGAACCUAAAAUUGAAUAUUAUUACAUUUUGCAUGGAGAAAAUAAAGUUGUUAUUGUUAAAGAGGAAUCAGAGCUUAAGAUUGUUAAGACAUACAAUAAUGUAAAUCAAAUGAUUGUUUUUGAUAAAUUAAAAUCUGGUGUACCUCAGUUAUAUUUGAAAUUUGAUGGUGAUUUUGAAUGUAUAAAUGACUUUUAUGAAAAUAAUGAUACAAAAUAUGAACAACAAAGUAAAAAUCAAGAAAUAUCAAAUGUCUACUCAUUUUGUAUGAAUAAAUUGCAGAAGCUACAACUAUAUUCUGAAUUUGAAAGAACAAAAUUAUCUCAAAAGACAUCAUCUCUUUAUAAAACCGUAAAACAAUAUUUAACGGAAAGCAAUUUAUCAUUUGAUUUAGACAAGGAAUUAGAUUCUUCACUAGCUGUUAUUGUCAAAUAUCCUUGGCUUAAGUUAAAUAACGAAAAAUUAAUUUUCGGUUUUACUAUAGAAAAUAAAUCAAAAAUAGAAUUGUCAAACUUUAAUGUACUGUUGUUAAAAAAUGGAGAAGAAGUUUGGCCCAAUUUUUGGUAUAAAUGUUGGUCUAUAUUGCCAAAUAACAAUGUUUUGAAUUUCCACUCCGGAAACUCUAAUAACUUUUCAUUUGAAGGUAACAAUUUAUAUUUAAAACCAGAAACUUCAGUAAUUGUUACUUGUCUUAUUCAUGAAUGGGGUAAUGAAACACUUCCAUAUGUCAUUAACGUAAUGUUAAUUAAUGAUACAAAUCAAUUUGGUUUUAAAUAUAAGAAUGUUGAGAAAUAUCACAUUACAUCUACUUUAUUUAUGAGUAAAGAAUUUGGUAUUUUUUUUAACAAUAGUAUUCUUGUGGAAGAUCUUCUUGUUGUUCAUUAUACCAAAUUCCUAUCAAGUUAUGAAAUUAAAUGCUUGUUAAAUUUAAAGGAUAUUACCAAAAUAUUAAUUGAUAAUUUCAAAUUUAAUUGCAUUAAUGAGUGGUUUUUUCAAUGUUCACUUAAUUGUUUCAAAUCAAUUGUUAUCAAUUUACAACCAGUUUCACAAUAUGAAUAUAAAUUACUAUUAUUUUCUGAUUCAUUAGUCAGUAUAAAAAUGUUUAUACAGUUAUUAACAAAAUUCUUGCCAGAUCACACAAAUAUUACUAAAUUAAAUGGUAGAACACUUAUUACUUUAAAUAAAAACAUCUUAGUAUCAGAUUUAAAAGAACUAAGAAGUAUACUCAAAGAAUUUGUUGCUGAAGAAGUAAUUAUUCCUAGGGAGAAAUGGAAUGUCACGAGAUUAAAAUUGAAUACAUUUAGGACAACUACAUGACGUGAAUUAUUUUUAUGGAGAAGUUUAAUAGGAACAGGUUUAUCUUUACUAAAAAAUGAUUACCUGACAGUUCAAAUAUAUCUCCUUUAUGAUAUCGUGUAAUGGACACGGUGGCACAAACAACAUUGACUCCGGCCAACACGGCAAUCAAAAUUACCGAUAAGUAUGCACUUAACAUUUUUCUCUGUAUCCGUACCCAAUAUCUAUGAACAAUUUCAUAUCAUUUAAACCCGCCAUCACACGAAUAUCGUCGGCUGUCAUCCAAAUGACAGUCACAAGCUAAAAAACAAUAAAUUUUUAUUGAUAAAAUGUAAAUUCAUUUUUAUUUAAAUAUUUAAAUUAUGAUGUAAGUGUUAUUAAAUAUUUAUUUUAAAAAUAAAAGUUAAUUUGUUGAUAUAAUUAUUGAAAUUUGUUGGUAACAUAAUAAAAUGUGCUCAUUCGAGAAUC